GACGAACGCUGGCGGCGUGCUUAACACAUGCAAGUCGAACGCUGAAGCUCAGCUUUUGUUGGGUGGAUGAGUGGCGAACGAGUGAGUAACACGUGAGUAACCUGCCCCCUUCUUUGGGAUAACGCCCGGAAACGGGUGCUAAUACUGGAUAUUCACUGGUCUUCGCAUGGGGGUUGGUGGAAAGGGUUUUUCUGGUGGGGGAUGGGCUCGCGGCCUAUCAGCUUGUUGGUGGGGUGAUGGCCUACCAAGGCUUUGACGGGUAGCCGGCCUGAGAGGGUGACCGGUCACAUUGGGACUGAGAUACGGCCCAGACUCCUACGGGAGGCAGCAGUGGGGAAUAAUGCACAAUGGGCGCAAGCCUGAUGCAGCGACGCCGCGUGAGGGAUGGAGGCCUUCGGGUUGUGAACCUCUUUCGCUCAUGGUCAAGCCGCAACAAUGGUUGUGGUGAGGGUAGUGGGUAAAGAAGCGCCGGCUAACUACGUG
rnacentral:rRNA from 1 species